UACAGAGGAUGCAAGCGUUAUCCGGAAUUAUUGGGCGUAAAGAGCGUGUAGGCGGCCGUACAGGUCAGCUGUGAAAACUCGAGGCUCAACCUCGAGACGUCGGUUGAAACCGUACGGCUAGAGUCCGGAAGAGGAGAGUGGAAUUCCCGGUGUAGCGGUGAAAUGCGCAGAUAUCGGGAAGAACACCCGUGGCGAAGGCGGCUCUCUGGGACGGUACUGACGCUGAGACGCGAAAGCGUGGGGAGCGAACAGG
rnacentral:rRNA from 1 species